UACAGAGGUCUCAAGCGUUGUUCGGAUUCAUUGGGCGUAAAGGGUGCGUAGGCGGCGCGGUAAGUCGGGUGUGAAAUCUUGGAGCUUAACUCCGAAACUGCACUCGAUACUGCCGUGCUUGAGGACUGGAGAGGAGACUGGAAUUUACGGUGUAGCGGUGAAAUGCGUAGAUAUCGUAAGGAAGACCAGUGGCGAAGGCGGGUCUCUGGACAGUUCCUGACGCUGAGGCACGAAGGCCAGGGGAGCAAACGGG
rnacentral:rRNA from 1 species